rnacentral:rRNA from 1 species
AGUGAACGCUGGCGGUAGGCCUAACACAUGCAAGUCGAACGGCAGCACAGUAAGAGCUUGCUCUUACGGGUGGCGAGUGGCGGACGGGUGAGGAAUACAUCGGAAUCUACUUUUUCGUGGGGGAUAACGUAGGGAAACUUACGCUAAUACCGCAUACGACCUACGGGUGAAAGCAGGGGAUCUUCGGACCUUGCGCGAUUGAAUGAGCCGAUGUCGGAUUAGCUAGUUGGCGGGGUAAAGGCCCACCAAGGCGACGAUCCGUAGCUGGUCUGAGAGGAUGAUCAGCCACACUGGAACGGAGACACGGUCCAGACUCCUGCGGGAGGCAGCAGUGGGGAAUAUUGGACAGUGGGCGCAAGCCUGAUCCAGCCAUACCGCGUGGGUGAAGAAGGCCUUCGGGUUGUAAAGCCCUUUUGUUGGGAAAGAAAAGCAGCAGGUUAAUACCCCGCUGUUCUGACGGUACCCAAAGAAUAAGCACCGGCUAACUUCGUG